rnacentral:rRNA from 1 species
UGGGGAAUUUUCCGCAAUGGGCGAAAGCCUGACGGAGCAAUACCGCGUGAGGGAGGAAGGCUUUUGGGUUGUAAACCUCUUUUCUUAGGGAAGAAGUUCUGACGGUACCUAAGGAAUCAGCAUCGGCUAACUCCGUGCCAGCAGCCGCGGUAAUACGAAGGGGGCUAGCGUUGUUCGGAAUUACUGGGCGUAAAGCGCACGUAGGCGGACUUUUAAGUUUGGGGUGAAAUCCCGGAGCUCAACUCCGGAACUGCCUUGAAUACUGGAAGUCUAGAGGAUGGAAGAGGUAAGCGGAAUACCGAGUGUAGAGGUGAAAUUCGUAGAUAUUCGGUGGAACACCAGUGGCGAAGGCGGCUUACUGGUCCAUUUCUGACGCUGAGGUGCGAAAGUGUGGGGAGCAAACAGGAUUAGAUACCCCGGUAGUCC